CCCGUUCUAUUGCCAUCCCUAGCAAUACUAACAAGCUUCUUAAUGAGAAGCUUGGGAUAGACUUGGCGGUUCGAGAUAAGCAUGCUGAGAUGGCUGAACACGUAUUGGGAGUUUGAGCGGGCUUCUAAGUGUUUCUUCCAACCGUAAUUUGCCCUUCCAAACUUUCCACAUGAAAAAAGGCUUCUUAAAUGGUAGUCCCUUCACCCAUAUGUUCUUGUAAACAAUGCUAGAGUCUCUUCUCCUUCUUAGGUACUCCCAGGAAGACUUGAUGCUAAACUCACCCUCUGUCUCCAACAUCAAGAAAAGUUUAUCUAGGUUGUGCAUUGUCUCGUCACAAUAGAUUAACAAAUUGGUUCUUAUUUGUCCAAUCAAUUAUAGGUGUAACUCUUAUUUUGACUUCACGUAUUUUGCUAUGUCAAUAUUUUCGUUCAUAGUUCGUAUCCGAAUUGAGGUCAAGGAUUUUUCUAUCAAGUCUUGGUUUGCAUUUUGAUUAUCUUCAAAUAAGAAAAUCACAAAAAAUAAAAAUUAUUCAUCGAUUGUUCUUAUUUGAUUUCCAGAAGUAGAAAUACAUCAUUGUUCGUCUCUUGUCUUGCUGCGACUAAUAUUUCAAACAUGAAUCAAAAUUAAAAUUGUUCUUUUGAUUAUUGACUCUCUGUGCUAGAAUUAAGAAUGAAGUUUGGUUUGAGAUUGGAACCCUAGUCGCCAUGGCAUUAUCAAAAAAUUGGGGUUUUUGCUCAAAUCCGAAAAGUUUGAGCUCGAAAUCGACUGGGGGUGUUCUAAUCUUGUUGGUACAGCUUGAUUGAGGUAAAAUCUGAAGCACUAGAUAAGAUUGCGACUGUUUUGGAAAGUUUUGCUCAGAAUUUCAACGCGGUUCUCAAAGGAGAAGUCGAUUGGGAUUUUUCGAUUCAGGGAUCGUUGGAGCAAAUUGAGUACUAGGCUUUUGCUCUGGUUGUUGAAUGGAGCUCGUAUGUCAAAAUUGAACUCAGUUGGUGAAGCUUCAGUGCAUUUGGGAUUGCAUUUUUGCAGCUGCUGUUCGAAGAACAGAGCUUCAGAUUUCUUCUAAGUACAACUAUUAAGUGCCCUACACAACGUAUUUACUCAUCGAUGCAUAGCUGAUUCCAAUAAUUCAUCAUUGAAGAUUGCACAUGUUAGAUUUCAGAAGUUCAACCGUAGUUUGAUUUCUGAAAAUUGAAAGGAUUUGAGUUUCAACUGAACUACUACUUCGUUCUGAGUAAUUGAUUUGAAUGAAUUCGAUUCGUGUUGCUUAGCUUGAUUUAUGAGUAUUGAUCAGAAAUCUGUCGUAGCUACUACAAAUUUGAAACUCCAUUUGUGUUCAGUUUGUUGCUGCCAAUUGUGAUCUAUAUCCUUGAUUGAGUUUCUGAGUUGUUAACUGAAAAAUUCAUCGAUAGCUUGGUUGAAUAAUCUCUGUGUGAUGAUAUGUUGAACUAGUUGUCUUCUUGAAGACCUUUGUGAUUCUUGAGUUUGAAUUUUGAAUUAACACUUGUUGAUUGAUGCUGCGGUUGAACAAUCAUUUCUGUUCUCCAGAAUUGCAGCAGUAGAAAUUUCACCGUGAGCUUCGACAUUCAAGUUGUAUACGGUAAAAUCGGACGGUCCAAUUUUCCAUCGUUAUGACGCCUCGAAGGCUCGGAAUCCUGGUCGAGUUUCAUCCCUCGAGGGCCAUCGACACUCGAUCUCGGAACAGUAUGAGACCGACGGUCACUGGAAGAAAAUGGGGAGUUCCCAAGGCGUUAAGCUAGAGCUGACAAAAUCUGCCAGGUUAGUGUGAGCCUGUAUCGUGACAUUAACUAGGUGUCCCAUCUCCAUAUCUUUGUAAUAAAUGCACUUGUACUAUAUUGGGAUUCCCCCUCUUAUAUAAAAGGGAUCCUUGUCAUUUUGUAAACAUCUGUUGCCUCCAUACUGAAUAUACAAGAACAUCUCUCUUCUAUUUAACACAUUCUCUUGGUCUCGUUAUCUCAUUUAUUGCC
rnacentral:lncRNA from 1 species